rnacentral:lncRNA from 1 species
ACUACCAGAUCCACUCUCCAACUCCAGCAAACACAAUUAAUUUAUUUACUUUGCAUGAUUCAAUGCAGGAGGUGGUUUCCAUUCAAUAUGUCUCAAUAUGUACAACAACAAUAAUCCAUCAACUAUGUAUAUAAACAUUAUUGAAUCACAUUACUAAGAAACUAAUAAAUAGGAAAAUAAUGCGGUGUAUAGGACGAUUUGUAAGAUUGCACUUUGUUCUAAUAUUUCUAAUUUUAUUACAUAUAUAUUAAUUUUUCAGAUGAUUCUUCAAUUGAAUUUAUACAAACAAAGAGAAAGAGAGAUCACUGAAUCACCGAUCACGU